rnacentral:rRNA from 1 species
AGAGUUUGAUCAUGGCUCAGAUUGAACGCUGGCGGCAUGCCUUACACAUGCAAGUCGAACGGCAGCGCGGGAGCAAUCCUGGCGGCGAGUGGCGAACGGGUGAGUAAUAUAUCGGAACGUGCCCUGUAGCGGGGGAUAACCUAUCGAAAGAUGGACUAAUACCGCAUACGCUCUACGGAGGAAAGCGGGGGUCGCAAGACCUCGCACUAUAGGAGCGGCCGAUAUCGGAUUAGCUAGUUGGCGGGGUAAAAGCCCACCAAGGCGACGAUCCGUAGCUGGUCUGAGAGGAUGAUCAGCCACACUGGAACUGAGACACGGUCCAGACUCCUACGGGAGGCAGCAGUGGGGAAUUUUGGACAAUGGGCGCAAGCCUGAUCCAGCCAUGCCGCGUGAGUGAAGAAGGCCUUCGGGUUGUAAAGCUCUUUCGGCAGGAACGAAAUGGUUCGUGCUAAUACCACGGACUGAUGACGGUACCUGAAGAAGAAGCACCGGCUACUACGUGCCAGCAGCCGCGGUA